ensembl:snRNA U4 U4 spliceosomal RNA
AGCUUUGUGCAGUGGCAGUAUCGUAGCCAAUGAGGUUUAUCCGAGGCGUGAUUAUUGCUAAUUGAAAACUUAUCCAGGGCCUUGACCAUGACAUGACAGCAGUGCCAUGAUAUGCGAAAGAUCUCCUGCCUGGCUGAGCUGAAGGAG